UUCCUCAUAUUUGUGCGAUUCUCGAAAUCUGACGUCAGAUCUCGAAAUGAUCGGUCUGACACCGAAGGCUUCGUUGUAAUGAGAUCUACUCUGGCGAAGUAAGUUAUUACAACAUAAUUUGAAAUUAUUUCAGUAAUUGCAGGUUAUUGAUUGCUAGAUCUGAUUAAUUAGUAAUGAAAUUGAAUGAAUGUUAUACGGAUUUUGCCGAGAACGAGUGGUAGGAUGGCCACCGGUUAGAUCUCACAUGAUAAACAUGAUGAAGGAUUGUAAAUAUGUAAAGGUGGCGGUUGAUGGAGUUUGGUAUUUGAGAAAAGUAGACCUGGAAUUAUAUUAUUCAGGUUAACAGCAACUUUUGUGCAAUUUUAAAGAUCUGUUCUCCUGUUUCACCAUCAGAAAUGUAUUGAAUGAGAGGAAGCUAAUGGAUCCGGUGAAUGGAAUGGAGUAUGAUCCGACGUAUGAAGAUAAUAAAGAGGGAGACUGGAUGUUAGUUGGUGAUGUUCCAUAAUUUUGGAGAAGUGUUGAGCAAGGCAGAUUUGGACGAUGAGCAUCGAAGAUUGGGAGUUUGAAACUUUUGGAGAGAGUUGGUGUAGUUGUUUAUAGAGGAAAGUUGUUUGUAUUUUUUUUUCAAGAUUAGUAGAAUUUAAAAAUUUGG